GUCGCCGCCGGCGGAGGCGAGCAGCAGCCCCAGGCCCGGCAGGUAGAGGCCAAGGCUGAGGACCAGCGCGCGGCGCCGGCCCAGGAUUCCCCAGUUGCUGCUUCUGCGUCAUGUCCUCUUCCAGUCGGGACCAAGGCCAGGCUGAUGGACCCGGAGGGCAGCAUGGGGUGGCACUGGCCCACUUCGCAGAUGCGGGACUGAGGCUGGUGGGGGCGGGGGGGCAGUGACAGUCGGGAUGGAGCCACUGUGCUCCUGAGUGACCAGAGUGACCAGAAGCCCGCAGGGUCAAGCCACAGAGUGCAGAUGCCACGGAGGAAGGAAGUGGUCGCAUUCAGGACACGGCAGCACCAUUUGGACCCACAGGGCGUGGAGAUUAAGCACGCUGGCCUCUGGCUAAACCCCAGCCACUGGCCCCCACCCUGGACUCCUCCUGCCCCAGCCUGUGGCCUGGCCAUGCCUCUCGAGGCGGCUCUGCCCUGCACCCCGCUUCUCCAUGUGGGUUGCAGCCAGAAGUCGCCUCUGCACAGGGACCUUAUCCAUCCCCUGUCUGGUUGCCCCUCUGGUUCUCCAUGGCCUUGCCACAGCCUCCUGCCUCAGUGCCCUCGGCUUGGGCGGGACUGUUCAUGCACUUUGCGGCUCCGCAGUAGAACACAGCUCCCAAGGCGAGAUCUCAAGUGACGAGUGACGUCAGCAGGGCUGAGAGCCGCGGACCCGAAACUGGCUUUUAACCUCUGACAUCUGCGCUGGGAGGGACAAGUGUAUGGCCCGAGGGACCGGGAGGGGGCAGGCCCACACCCACGCCCUGUUUGUCACCGUGACCAGGGACCAGGGGCUUCAGAUGAGGCAGCCAGGGGUGGGGAGACAGGCAGCCUCAGUGAGCUUCGUGUCACCUUCAGGGAGGCUGCGACCACUGCCCGAGGUCGUGGUGAUGGAGUGCGGCUCACAGACCAGUGGCCGCCCCUUGGCAAGGUCACUAGGCCAGCAAAGGUGCCACGUGCAGCCAGGGAGCCAGCCUGACAAAGGCCGGUGCUGACUGGCUGUCAUGAUCUCCAGCAGGUGCAGAUGGCGGGAACAGCUCCAGCAGCAGCCAGGCCCCAGGGACAGCCAGGAGAGGACAGCAGCAGACGGGCAGGUGUCUCUUCCUUGUCAAUCAGCCUCCAUCCCCAGUAGACGAGACAGGGACAGGGUGGCCCCUAGGGGAAGACCCAGCACUGCUGAGCUGGGGAGCAAGGGGCGGUUUGCCUCUUGCAGACAAAAGUGUCGUUCUGAAUCGCUGUGACUCACCCAGGGCACAAGUGACAGCAUGAGCAGCGUUGGGGCUCAGGACCUUGUGAGGAGCCCAGAGCUCAGGGCUGCAGCCACGCCCCACAAACCUAAGUGGUUUGGGCCUGAUAGAGACAAACCACAUGGUGCCACAUUUUUAUUUUUUGCAUUUGUUAUUUUUUAAUAUAAAAAUUAAAAAGUGACUUCCUUCCUUAAGAUUCUC